GUGUCAGCAGCCGCGGUAAUACGUAGGCAGCGAGCGUUGUUCGGAAUUACUGGGCGUAAAGGGUGGGUAGGCGGUUGGGCUAGUCUGGUGUGAAAUCUCCCGGCUUAACUGGGAGGGUGCGCCGGAAACUGCCUGGCUAGAGUGUGGGAGAGGAAAGCGGAAUUCCUGGUGUAGCGGUGAAAUGCGUAGAUAUCAGGAGGAACACCUGCGGUGUAGACGGCUUUCUGGACCACUACUGACGCUGAACCACGAAAGCGUGGGGAGCAAACAGGAUUAGAAACCCUCGUAGUCC
rnacentral:rRNA from 1 species